AGCGCCGCGUCUCCACAGCCGCCGCCGGCUCUAGGCUCCACUCGCCUGGCUGCGCGCUCUACGCUCUCUCGCUCUCUCCCUCCCUCGCCGACCUCUCCCUCCACUUGCGUUCUGGCUUCCCCGCGCCUGGGUCUCGGCUGUUUCCAAGCUUCUCUGUGACUCCGAUCGACUUCGUUCGUCACCACCCCCUCCCACGACUCACCUCCCUUUUUUUCUCCCCCUCCCUUCACUGCUCCCAGACCGCCCCCCCCCUCCACUUCUCCCCCGCCCCAGCAAGUUUGGAGUAGGAGAGGAAACUGAGCUUAAAGGGACCCAAUGGGACGAAGGGGGCUCACGAAGGUGCCCUCCCCAUCCCCGUGGCUUGCAUGCCCCCGACUGGAGCGCACUCUGGGCAACCGACGCUGUCAGGUGUGGUGGGGACUCCGCGCUCCGCGUUUUGCAGCCUGCCGCGGCGUCGGAGGCGAGGAAGGGAGCUGGAAUAACAAAGGCAAGUUGGGGAGAGCGCAAGGGGGCGCAGCCCUGACCGGGCUGCGGGGGGGAACCCAGCUUGGCCCUGGCUUCGGAGGCUGCGGGGUCUCGGGUGCCAGGAGCGGGUGGAGAUGGGAUGGGUGGGGGGGGAGAAGUGUGUGGGCGAGGGGCGGGGCCCAGGCGUGACGUCAGAGAACAAUGACACCGCCGGGGGGCGGGCACCGAGAGGCAGCCGGGGCGGGGGUCUCCCCGGGGGCCCAAGACCAGCGGAAGACGUCCUGCCCGGGCCCGGCUGCUGCCUGAUUGACGAGGCCCGCUGGGGAGCGCGGACGUGCCACGCAGACUCCCGGGAUCGCCCGGGCCUCCUGGGCAUUGACCAGCGCCGACCGACGCGGGGACCCGGCCGGAGGAGUACUCCCCAUUUUUCGUCCCCCCAUUUUAGAACAUCCUUCCGAGGGUUUCUCUGACCUCGGCUUGAACUCCUUCCGAGCCGGCGAGAUCACUCCUUACGCCGCCGAGGGAGAGGAGGCACAAUGCAUUUGCCAGCCCUGAAUGCAUUCUCAAGGCUACGGGUAGCGGACUCAGCCUGGAUUCCCGAGGGCUCAGAGAACUGCGGCUCAGGUCCACUGGGUGUGGGGUGUGUGAGUGGGGGGAAAGCCUGUUCCAUUUCCCCAGGGGAAAUCCUGGCUCCCUAGGCCUUGGAUGAAAGGGAAGGCUUCUCCUCUCUGGGCCUCAGUCUUUUGGCCUGUCAUUCGGACUGGCUGCCCUUUCUGCUCCUGGGGGGGGGGGGGGGUCCGGAAGCGCUUCUAGACCUCUAGGGAGAAACUAGGAGGCAUUGAUCUCAGCCCAGUCCCUUAGGAGUGAGCUUCUCCCUGGCAGCCUGGAUGGAUGGCCCCGGGAAGCUGAGGGGCCAGGAGACCUGAGAAGCAGUAGCAAGCCAGACUAUAGGCUGGAGAGUGAGGAUACAGCUCAGUGAAUGGUGGCUGGAACCACUGCAGUCUGCACUCUGUCUGCACUCUCCUAGCAAUUCAUAGUUUUGCAGCAGCCAGAAAAUCACCUCCCCACACCAGGCCUACAGCCUCUGGAUGGAGUGUCAGGACCUGCUGGAGGGGUGAGAAGCCAGUUCCAGCCAAGAACUAGAGCCACCCUGUUGCCACCAUCGCUUAGGUCAGAAUGCUCUGCGCUCUCAGGAAGUGGGGAGAUGCAGGUGACCUUAGGGGUGAACACGCACAUCCCAAAAUUCCUGACCAGAGGAUACCUGUCUCCUGCUCCCAGUCCUCUGGAUACCAGGAAGCAGCUACAGAGCACAGAGGGGACAAGCCCCACACAAGCAGCAGUUCCUGCAGUGUGGAGCCAGAGCCAGGGAAGCUGCAGCUCUUCCCAGCUGAGCAGGCAUGGGUGGUACUUGAUGGCUGCAAAGCUGGGGAAUCUCACCUGAACUCUUCCCUGGGACCCAGGGCUCCAGUUCCUCCUACUUCUGCCUUUGCCAUUUUUAUUUAUCUUUCAGAGAGGUAACAAAGCAGGCUGGAUCUCUGUGAGGUCUUGGAAGAAGCUUGGCGCCUACUGUGUGUUGGGAAGUGGAGUGAGAGCCUCUUAGGUGUUGGUUCAUUAAAAGUUCACACAGCCUCAGAUUAGGUGCUGUUAUCAUUCCCUCCUUUAAAGAAAACUGCACAGUGAGUGACUUGUCCAGAGUCAAUUAGGAUCAAACUCAGGCCCUCAUUAACAAAGUUUCCUGGUGGUCUCUUAGCCCCAGCUGCACAGCCUUAUUCUAUAGGCUCUCUGUAUGGCUCUGGGCUAUUUUUCUCCCCUCUCUGGGACUCUGUAAACCAAGGGCAAAGUCUCUUGGUAGUGGUUAGGCUUCUUUAGAGAGGUGUGUUCCUACUACCCCCACUCCUUCUCCACCUCUCAGCCUUGACCUCUGUGGCUCUGGAGGUCUAGGGGCAGGGGCGGUGGGGAGGAGGGAUAAAGCAGAGAGGAAAGUGCUCUCAUUUCCCAGCCACUGAGAACUGGAAGAUGGCUCCUGCUUGGCUAAUGCAGGUUCAUAAAUCACCUGGCUCCAGAUGCGGCUUCAGGGCCUGUUUGCAUGUGUGGGCAGCAUGGAGCUGGCUUGUGGGUACCAAGACAGGGUCAGCCUGCACCACUUUCAGAGCAGACUCAAGUGACAAUGCCAUCAGCUCAACAGAAGGCCACUGCUUUGGCCUAGUCCUUUGGGAGGUGCAAAGUGGAGGCUCAGCAUGGGGCAUGGUGUUUCAGGCUGGUAGGCAGGGGGCCCCCAGCUGUCUGGGUAGGGGGAGCAACAUGGGGAAUGGUACUUGUGGGGGUGGAUUCAUACUUCUUCAGACUGUGUGUGUGUGUGUGUGUGUGUGUGUGUGUGUCUCCACAGAAGGACCUAGGGACACCUAACAUCGGGACCAAAGGAGCAGAGUGGUCAUGUUUGUUGAACACUUACUGUAUGCCCAAGUAAGCACUGUUUAUAUGCUGACAAGAAAACAUUACAUAGAUUCCCUUCAUCCUCCCACACAUAUUUCACCUCCCCCCAAAAAAAUACUCAGAGAAGUUGAGUGGCCUGCAGCCUGUCCAGUGGGUGUGGCUGAACUUGCUUCCAGUUCUGGACUGGGCACAGGGUGAGAAAGGGGACCUACCUUCAUCUCAUCACCAGUUCUCAGUGCACACAGGUUAUCUUUGGGGGUAAUCUGGGGUGGUGCAGACCCUCUCCAACUUGGGGGGAAUGAAUGACCAGGAUCCCUCCCAUAGUGGCACUGGGUCUCCGCCCAGCUAUGAUUGGGACCCAUGCCUUUGGGGAUGAAUGGCUGGGCCCUGCAGAAAGCAAAUGUGCUGCCUCCCCAUAUUCCUAUAAAAUAAGGCCCUUCAUUCUGAGGCCACACCCUCCAGGCCCCUGAUAAUCCCUCAGCUGACCCAGGUGCUCUCUCCUGCUGUGCUGCCUUCUCUGUCUCCAUUAGUCCUGGAGCUCUGCCCUUUGCUUCCAGAGUCACCAACACAGCCAGCAGCCAAAGCCUUGUCCAAAUGGAAGACCCUAACAGAGCAGACUGAGCAGUGGCCUCAGCAUCUGGGACACCUGCCCAGCCAGCCCACCAUGGCCCAAUGGCUUGAGCACAUCUCAGACUUUCUGUGGGUCUCCAUUUUCCCAUUUGUCAAGUGAGACAGUGUGGCAUACAUACAGGAUGCCCCAUGGGAGCAUCUGCUUGUCCUGUGAGUCCUUCUGCCCUUGAAUUAAAUUACUCUAGAGUUGGAGGGGAUCUUGCUUUGAGGAGGAGUGUUCUCAGAAGCCCCAUCUCAUCAGGUAGGGACAGGAAUGGCCUGUCCAGGCCUGUGAAUAGGUAAUGGCCUUCCACUUCCCUCAGCAGGGACCUUUUAUAGGUGACACUAAGCCCCAAUGGGAUCCGUGGCCACAUGAUGAGGGAGUGUCAGAACUGGAACAAGAACCAGGUCCUCUAACUCAGGGCCUCUCACCUGUCCCAGUGACCAGGGAAGCCACCUGGGAGCUAAAGUGACAAACACUGCUCUGGGGUGAGUCUGGGACAAGUGACCAGGGGAGGUUAGAGCAUUCCACCUUCUUUCUGAUAGCUCCUGCACCUGUGGUAGGGAUUGGUGGGGGUUGUGGUAGAGUUCCCUUCCAUUCUGGUACUAGGGAGGAAUUGGGGGUGGUGGUGGGGGAAGAAGACCUCAGAGUCUGAAUAUCUUCCCUUCUCACCUGGACCACAGCUUUCUGGUUUCAAGACUCAACCUCCCACCCUCACCCUAGCCCUGUCAUUUUGAGUGGCUUCCAGAACAGUGAGCUUUAUAUAAUGCUCUUAGCUCCUGGGACACACGCCUAGGGACCUUUGAGGCUGUGUCUGCAGCCACCUGCUCCAAAGCCUACUGUGAUAACCAGCAGAGGAGCUGUCUCCCUGGCCUCCCCCUAAUGCCACUGUACCUCCUCUUUCUCCAGCAGCAGCAGCAGCAUGGACGUUAUGUCCUUACUAUGUGCCAGGCUCUGAGGCUCCUGCACACAGGCACGAAUCCUCUGCACCCCUUGGGAACUGAUUAGUAAUUAUAUUAACUUAGCCAUUUUUCAGAUGAGUAAACCAAGGCACAGAGCAUUUCUUUUGUCCAGUGUGACUUGUUAUUAGCCAGGCAGGUUGCCACCUCCCUAACCAAACUGUAGGCAGUAGGAUGAUUUACUGUUCUAUUACCCUGCACAGCACCCGAGUGACUGCUAGGCAGUCAGGUGCAGUGAAGGGACCAUACAGCUCUCCAGGAGCUUGUAAGCCCACACUCAAUACUACUUCGAAAGUUUUGGGGGUAGGGAGAAGUGUUAGCACAGAAUGGAAUCUGGAAGGCAAGCUCUGCUGGGGAACUGUGGAGGAACAGGUCAGAGUAAGGAAUGAAGCUGCCCUAGGUCACACAGCAGCAAGAGGCCUUAGCAGGACUGGGGCCUUGGGGUCCCAGAAUGAUGUUCCUUCUUGCUCCUGGCAGCUGGCCCUGGGGGCCCUGCAUCUUGUGUUUUUUCUCAAAGACACACAGCCUCAGGCACCUCCACUAUGCUGAGCUUUUCAAUGAGUGGCUCAGUCCUUCUCUCCCCUCUAUUAAAAUUAAAAAGAAGAAAGAGACCCAGGCAUUGUUCCUGACUACAGCUGGUGCCAACUAGAAUCCUGCUGAACAGAAAGAAGUGGGGAGUCAGGCCACCCAGGGGUCUGGCUGCUGACACAAGGCCUUUCUAUUUUCUUUCCACUGGGGCCUGGGUUGCUGUGCCCCUAAAUGGGCACCCUCUCCACCUGCCUCCCUGGCCCUCAUCCUGCCUUCACUGCCCUCAGCCUCUUUGGCAGAAGUCAGAUGUCACUUGGGAGGGCUGUAGGAACACUGCCACCCCCAGCUGUCCAGCCUCCUCUACACACAGCCUAGGGGAAGCUGGAUGCCCAUCUACACCAGUUUGUCCCCUGCCCUAUGAUGGUGGUGGUGGGGGUUGGGCUUGGAUGCCUAUCUUGGAGAGCAGCAGACAGAGAUCCUUCCUCUGUGGACUCAUCUGGAGCACUGGUUAAAUUUCAGCCCAUCCUACCCCAUCUUACCCCCUCCUGACUUGGCAGGUGCCAGUCCAUCCUCAGCUCUCCCAUUCAGUGGCUGUAGGCUGGGGCAGGGAAUAGUGGCAACAAACAGCUGUAUGGAGAUAAAUACUUUUGAAAGUUACUGCUCUCAGAGACUGGUGCAUAUGGAGAGAGGGGGGAGAGAAAGAGAGAGAGAGAGAGACACUGAGGAAGACUGAGGAUACUAAACAUCACUCUGGUACCUGUGCUUACAGGAUUAAUCUCAGGACCCCAUGCUUGAGAGUCCAAGGCUUUAUCCACUGUGCCACCUCCCGGACUAAGUGCAGAGUUUGUGAAGAGCACUUGUUUUCCCUGAAUGCUGCUGCAGCCCUAAGAGGCAAGUAGGAGUUGUGAAACCACUCUGCAGAUGAAUAACCCAGGGUUCAAGAGGCUCUGUGGUUUGACCAGCCUCAUAUACAAAAGGGUAUAGCUGAUAUUUGAACCCUGGCCUCUCGAUGCCAUGUCUUUCAGCAGGAGUGCAUAUCUCUCCCCUCGGUGAUGAUCUCCGAUGAUAACAGGCCCAGAUUUCCAAAUGCCUUCAGGACACGGGAUCCCAGGCACACAGAUUCAUCCAGCGAAUAUUUAUUGAACACUUGCUCUGUUCCAGGCACAAAAACUAGGCACAGGGGAUCAGUGAUAUGUCCCAUGCUGUUAGGGCUUAGAAUGUGAUGGAGGAGAUAGGUUCCAGCCUGUGCAGGAGGGUCUCACUUCUCCAGUAGCCCAGCCCUGGGCCCUACAGGCAACUUUGAUUGGAAGGCUGGAGACACUGUUUCUAGUCCCAGUGUCCCUUUUCCUCCCUGUGUGGCUUUGAAGUUUCCAUCUGUGGAAUUUGCCAGCACAUAGCUCCACAUACUUUUCCUCAGGUCCCUGCCCUACUCCCAGUAUCUGAAUCAAGUGGUUAAUGAUUUCCUUGCAUGAAUAAUUACCCUGAUGAUUUUCUUUAUGUAAACCUGACUUUUCCUAGGCUCUGAGAAAAAGGGUCUCUCGGCUCACACCCUCCUGGGAGUGGGGACUUGCUCCCUCAGCAGCACACAGCCUGCUCAGAGGUAUACUAGAAAGUAUUCAACAUCUGAUUCUCUGAGUGGAGAGCCAUUUUGUCGAAUUUACUGUUUUCCAUGGUGCAAAGGCUCCCACCAAGGCCAGUUUCAAACCAGCACUAGCACCUAGCGUGCUCAGCUAUGAAGAUUGAGCAAUUGGCCCUUUUGAACCAGUCCUGGCUGGCUCCAACACACCACGGAGUAGCAUUGUUUAGCUCACCUUGCGGAGACCUCCUGGUCUUAAGCCAAACACCUCACUGUCAGGAGCUCAGGUCAGGAAGUUUUGAGGAGCUGGAGGACAAGGGGGACCCUCUGCUCCAUGAAGACCUUCAGAGAAUUGGAAGAAUUGACCCUGUCUCCUUAUGGGGACAGCAGGAGUGGGGGAGGUUCCUGGACCAAGUGGGGUCAGGACAUAUCUCCCCUCCCCCUGCCUCCCACCAAUAUGUUUUGGGUCUCUGAGAUGUUAUAUUCUGCUAAUAUAUGUUAUAUUCUGCUAAGUAUACAGACACAGAGCACCAUGUCUUUGCACACACUGCCCUCACCCCCAGCUGGAACAUCUCCCCACUCAGUCAUCAUCCUCUGAGGCUGCACACAAUUGUCACCGGGUCUUGGAAGCCUUCCCUGACCUCCACCCCCUCCCCUCAGAGUGAAGACCCCCUCCCACACACAAACAAGCCCAAGUCUUUAUCGGUCUCUGUUUGGCACUUAUCACUUUCUACCUUGGAUUACGGCUAUUUGUGUACAUGGCUUAUCUUGCUGCCAGACUGAGCGGCAGCUUGGGCUUGUUGAAAGAGCAUGGACUUUGGAGUCUUAUGACCUGGCCCUGAAUCCCAGCCCUGCCACUUUGAGUUAGGGACAGGGGGUGGGGAGAUGGGCACCAAGGGGGGGGGACUACAUUGCCUGUUGGAGCUUCAAUUUCCUUCUCUGUAAAAUGGGACUGGUUUGCGGGACAGAACUUGGGCCCCACACCUUUAUGUAUCCUUCCAGCGACAGUGGUAACAAUGUGGACAUUAACAACAGCUCACUACAACUACUACACACAGUGCCUGCAGUUGAACUUUUGGCAUUUUCAGUUACCCGUGGUCAGUCAUGGUUGGAAAGUACUAUAUGCAAUAAGAUAUUUUGAGAGACCACAGUCACUUGUGGGCUCUACAGCUUAUCACAGCAUACUGUUACAACGGUUCUAUUUUGUUUUUGCUGUUGCUACUUCCUUACACCUAAUUUACAAAUUACACUUUAGCAUAGAUUAUAUUUUAAUUUCCACCAGGGAUUUUUCUGGGACUUCUCCCCUACAUGAAUCCACCGUGUGGUAAAGUUUGUGAUCUACCUUCUACCGGGUGAGCCAUUUCCCAGCCUCUUAGCAUAGGUGUAUUUGUAUAGGAAAAAAAAAAAAACUUUAAUAUAUAAUGUUUGGUUACUAUCUGUGGCUUUUAGGACCCACUGGAGGCAGAGGGUGGGGGAGGGUAUUGAGACUAUAUUCCUCCCAGACAAGGAAGAGGGCUAUUGUACAGGGUAUGGUUCUAAGAUCUUACAUAUGUUAACUCAUUUCAUUCUUACAACCUUAUUCCCCUUCCUAGGUGAUCAGCUGAGACAGGUUAGACAGCAAACCGAAGGUCACACUGCUGGUGAGUGGAGAACCAAGUUUGGAAUCCAAGACAGUUCAGAGCCGUAGCUGUGGAGCAUUCUAUUACAUGGCCCUGCGGCACCGGCUCGGAGAGGUUCUGGGAGCCACAGGUGUUGGUGUGCCUCUGGUGCACCCCAUCCUGUGAGCACCCUCUCCUUGUCUGUGGACUGGGGCGGCACUGCACAGAGAAGCUCCUGGUCUGAUCUCCCAGUGGGUAAAGUGCUCAGCUCUGAAGAGAGGAGUAUGUUAGGUUGCUGGUGGGCAGGGGGCCAAGAGUCCACUAGUGGAUAAGGCAGUCAGAGAAGCUUCAAGGACAGGCAUGAUAGCUCGAUUGGAUAGUGUGCCUGCUUUGGUAUGCACGCAGCCCAGCUUCUAGUCUUGCCCUUAGGCAGGGCUGGAAGAAGCUUUGGUGCUUUGGUGUGUUGGGAUCUUUCCAACUCUCUCCCUCUGUCCUGCCACUAUCUGGGAAAAAGGAAGUCUGCUAGGGGCUGUCAAGCCCCAGCAUCAACAAAGAAGAAACAAACAAAACAACGACUACAGAGAAGGCUUCCUGAAAGAGGUGGCAUCUGCAGUGGUCCUUGACAGCUGAGGAUUUAGACCAGAAUGGAUGAGGCACAGAGAAGCAAAGAAGCAGGGGUGCAGGGGUACCUUCAAGGGUUAAAUGUCAAGACUUGCCGUUUCCCCCAGUUCUGGUGGGUGCUUAGAGACCAUGCACAUGUGGAGAGUUGUGCUGGUGAUACAGCCUGUGAAUCAGGGACAUCUGAGGAGUGGUUCCAGGGGCUUUGGAAGCUAGUGCAGAUCCUCUGAAGAGCUGAGAGCCAAUGGGGCUGUGCCAGAGGCAAGGGGGCUGUUUUACCCUUCUCUGUCCUGGCUUCCUGACUCCUGGUCUCCUCUGGCCGUGUCCCUCCCUUCUUCAUGCCUGCUUUCCCCAUCUGCAGAAGGGCCCCAGGCAUAGACCUUUCAGUCUUUACAGGGGCAGGCAGAGCUGCUGGGGGGUGAGGGUAGAAUGCUGUUACUCCAGGGCAGGAAGUAUGUGUGGGGGUGGUGGUGGUGGUGGUGGUGCUUGGUAGAAAGUGGAAUGCUGGAAGUGGGGGUGGGGGUGGGGGUGGGAGGUGGGGAGGUGGGGAGCCCUGUGUGCAGUGGGGAGCCAGUGAGCACCAAGACUGCAACUGCCAGUUGGCUCUGGCUGUCCUCAUGAUUCCCCCUGCACCACAUGCUUCAUUGUCCAGGCCCUGCCACGGGCUGCCCAGCUCUGCUGUCUUCAGAGCAGCCUUCCUCCCAGGCUCCUGCCAAGACAGGCUCCUGGCAGGCUCUGGGCUGACCCUGCUCCUCCCACCCGCCAGCAGGUGCUGCCCCACCACGCCCCCUCCAGGUAGUAGGGAAUCCUUCUCAAGCAAUACAUUGUGAGCCAGGGGCUGCUUUAAAUGCUUCCUGUUUAUUGACUAAUUUAAUCCUCACAAACAGUGAGUGUCCCUCUCCCUUCGGAUAAGGAAACUGAAUCAUGGAGAGGCUUUGCAAUGCGGUCUCACUACAGUUGGAUGGCAGAGUAUGUGAAGCCCCCAGAUCAAGCUGUUAACUCCAGUCCCCUGACACAUCUUCCUUCUCAUUCUAAGUCCUUGCGAGACUCCUCUACCCACACAUGCACCCCUAUGUCCCUACUCAUUGGACACCAGGGUCAACCAGGCUCACAGUUAAUAGAUUCACAGAUGUGUGGAGGUGCUAUGCCCACCCUGCACAGGCACAAAGGCAUACAUAUACACAAAUGCACACAUACAUGCUUUCCUCUCCUGUGUCCUUGAGUGGUUGGGUGGGCUCAUGGUACCGUAUGCCCUCCUUGGCCCACACCCGGCAUCCAGCCUUUGUGAAUGCCAUUAUGGCCCAUGUCUUUUCGUUCCUGUCCAUUCAAGUCCAAGGUUCCGGAAUGUGAGCAGUGCAGCCACUUUCACUGCACUCUUGCUCCAGAACAAGAAGUAAGUAUCCCUGAGCCUCAGGGAUAAGGCAGGGGCUAGAGAGUGGAUGGUUACCCUUCCCCCAAUGCCUUGGGAGGCAGAAGGAACAGCAGGAAGAGGAAAGUGAAUUAAUCCUGGCCUCCCCUCCUCUGGACUCUCUGCGAUGCUAAUUCUCCUUGCCUUUGAUCUGUGCUUCCCUACCACUCCAGCCCAGGCCCCUAACUCUGAUCAGGACUGGAUUUUGGGCCUGGUUUGAGAUUAGGGGUGCCCGGAGUGCACCCUGGGCCUAGCCCUGUGAGGCAGAUUGAGGUUUCUUUCCUGGAGUGAUGUCUUGGGAAUUAGAAUCCUGGUUACUGACCCCCAGCGUAUGCAAAACACUUGCCUUUACUAGAACUCUGUCUGAUGUCUGUAAAAGUGGUUGGGGUUCCCAUUUGACUCAGAAGCAGAGUGAGGAAUGGGGGCUUUGGUGGUGAAUGGAUUCCAGAGACUUCCUGACCAGUGAACAGUGGGUCUGAACACAGAACACAGAGCUUCCAACCCCAGUCCACCCUGCUUCCACUGAGAGGCUGUUUGUUCUGGUGGGUUUCAAGCAAACACAACUUCUGUGUCAGGAGCCAUGUUCAGAGGGCAUCCUCUCAUCCAGUGCCCCCACUAGUGCCUCCAACAUGUGGAAGCUGCCACGGUAACCAAGCUGCCACAGUGAAGUCUGGAUUCAAACCAAAUACCAAGCUGCUCACUUUUCAAAGGGGACACAAAGACUCAGGAAGGAAAAGUGAUGUGCCGAAGCCAAGCUGGCUGUGCAUUCAUCCCCUACCAUCCCAACCUUAUUCUGGAAAAAUCCAGAAUCCCCGAUGGGCGAGUGGAGCUGUGAGCAGAAUCCUGGCCAGGCCCCUAUUAGGGUGCCAAACUCAGGUAAUCACACAGAGGCAUUGCAGCCAACCUCGCCCCACAACAUCCCCAUAAACAUGGGCAUAAACACCAUUAAAACUUUUAUUACGCUGUAUUUCAUGCAUAAAAGACCAUUUGUGAGCUAUGGAACAAGUGAAAAUAAAUGCUCAUGACCAUCGUACUUAAAAAUCAGGAAGACAGGUGGGGAAGUGUUGGGUAUGCAAAUAGACUCUUAUGCCUGAGGCUCCUAAGUCCCAGGUUCAAUUCCCCAUACCAUCAUAAGCCAGAGCUGAGAAGUGCUCUGGUGUUUCUCUCUGUCUGUCUUUCUGCAUCUCAAUAAAAUAAAAUUUUUUUUUAAAAAAGAAUGUUUAAAAAAAUAAAGAAAUUAAUCUUGAAAAAAAAAAAAACCAGGAAGACACUAGGGAGCUCGGACCCUCGUGUGGGGUUGGUUCCCUGUGCCAACGGGAUUUUGGAGAUACUGAGAUACAGAGAACGUGCAUUCUUCAAAGGUGAUGAGGGGGAGAUCUGAAGAGAGACUUGUACCCCCAUCCACCCCUCCUCUACAAGGGCUUCCUUCUGACCAUUUACCACAUUAGGGUUCCUUGCACCCAACUCCCCUUUCUGUACUUUCACUGCACAGAGAGCUCUGAAACAGGACACUCCUUCCUGGUGCAGUCAGCAGAGGCAGGGUUGGUGAUCUGGCAGGUGAGCAUCCUCCCAAGCAAGGCCUGCUGCCAAAUCUUUGCACAGGUUGUUCCUACCACCUGGAAUGCCUUACCCACCCAUUCUGCUCAGGAAACCUAGCUCCUUUUAGGUCCAGCUCUAUAAAGUUUCAUGUCCCCCAUACCCCAUAGGGGAGGCAGAGCUAUGGAGGAGGGGAACAAGACUUUCUCCAUGACUUCUUCACUUCUAUCCCAGAGUUGCAUAUUGCCCACCUCAAAAUAGCCAGAGUCCUUGUCUGUUGACCCUCUGCCAGCCCUAUAGGGCAUGUAGCUACAGAUAUAUAUAUAUAUAUUUUUUUUUGCCUCUAGGGUUAUUGCUGUGGCUCAGUGCAGGCACUACAAAUCCACUGCUCCUGGCAGACAUUUAUUUCCAUUUUUUAAAAAAGUAGUGGAUAAGACAGAGAGAAAUUGAGAAGCGAGGGGGGAGAGAGAAAGACAAACACCUGUAGACUUGCUUCACCACUUGUGAAGCAUCCCCCUGCAGGUGAGGAGCUCGAACUCAGAUCCUUGCACGGGUCCUUGUGCUUAGUACUAUGGGUGCUUAGCUGAGUGCACCACCACCUGGCCCCCUUCUUAUUUUUAUUAAUUAAUCUGAUUGCCACCAGGGUUAUUGCUGGAGUUUGGUGCCUACACAGCUGAUCCACUGCUCUUUGUGGUCAUUUCCACCCCCUUUUCUUUCUUUUUCCUUUUUGACAGAUACAAAUUGAGAGGGAAGGGAAGGAGGAGGUAGAGAGGGAGAGAGAAUAAGACACACCUACAGCACUACAUUUGUGAAGCUUCUUACCUGUAGGUGAGGACUGGGUGCUUGAAACCAGGACCUUGCACAUGAUAACCUCAACCAGGUGUGUCACUACUCAAGAUUAUUCUUUAUCCCCAGGUCCUAGGCACAGCCAGGCACCAGAGUGGGGCAGACACUCCUCAAAGGAGCAAGGCAGAAUGUGGGUGAAGGUGACAUGAAGUGGGCCUCCCCUUGGGACUCCAUGGGCCAGGCCUUCCAAAGUCCCAGCCUAUGUGCCCCAAGAUCUGCCAGGAAAUUUGGAGGCAAAGCUGGCAGGAGACCACUCAGGACGUCAGGCUGCUGCACACCUAGCUGUGAUGUGGAUGACGUGUGUGUGCUAGACACUUGGGCAGGCCAGUCGGUGUGUCAGGUGGGUGUGAUGGGAGGUCACACGUGGAAGCUUACACACACACUUGUGCAAGCAUGUGGUCCCAAGUGCACAAGCAGCCCUGUGAGCAUCUUUGGCAAUUCCCUUUUCCUGGCACCAUUCCCUCUGACACGUGCCUGCUUUCUCUCAGAGUGUCACAGAGCACACUUGUAACAAAAGGAUUGCAAUGGGCAAAACCUGAGGGUUUGCCAGAGGUGUGUGGGAGACGGCUGGUCCCUGAGGGGAAAGGAGUGACAUGACUCUCACACUGUCACCUGGCUCUGCUCUCCCAUGUCCACAAGCCUUAAAGAACUAGCUGCCUCUGCCUCUACUUCCCAGAUGAGUCCCUUGAGGUCACCUGUGGACCAGCCAGUAGUGAGACAAGAUGAUGAAAUCAGAGGCCCAUGCUUCGAUUCUCACUUUGAGAGCCAGGAAC